AGCAGCCGCGGUAAUUCCAGCUCCAAUAGCGUAUAUUAAAGUUGUUGCAGUUAAAAAGCUCGUAGUUGAAUUUCGGGGUUAGUAGGUUGGUCAUGCCUCUGGUAUGUACUGGUCUCACUGAUUCCUCCUUCCUGAUGAACCUUAAUGCCAUUUAUUUGGUGUUUUGGGGAAUUUGGACUGUUACUUUGAAAAAAUUGAGUGUUUAAAGCAAGCUAACGCUUGAAUACAUUAGCAUGGAAUAAUGAAAUAGGACGUUCGAUCCUAUUUUGUUGGUUUCUAGGAUUGACGUAAUGAUUAAUAGGGAUAGUUGGGGGCAUUAGUAUUCAAUUGUCAGAGGUGAAAUUCUUGGAUUUAUUGAAGACUAACUACUGCGAAAGCAUUUGCCAAGGAUGUUUUCAUUAAUCAAGAACGAAAGUUAGGGGAUCGAAGACGAUCAGAUACCGUCGUAGUCUUAACCAUAAACUAUGCCG
rnacentral:rRNA from 1 species